UUUAAAUCCCCCCGCAGACCCGCCGCCACUACCCCAGGUCUUUAAAUUGCCCUCUCGGAAAGCUGGUCCUGGUACGGCACACCGGCUCUUACCAGUACACCGUACCGGGGCGUACCGGCUUCCUUUCACCUCUGCCUAAGUUAGAUAUUA